CGGUUAUAAAUCAACAUAUUGAUUUAUAAGCAUGGAAAUCCCCUGAGUGAAACAACGAAUUGCUGUGUGUAGUCUUUGCCCAUCUCCCACGAUGGGCUUUUUUUU
rnacentral:other from 1 species